rnacentral:rRNA from 1 species
AACGAACGCUGGCGGCAUGCUUAACACAUGCAAGUCGAACGGGACCUUCGGGCCUAGUGGCGCACGGGUGCGUAACGAGUGGGAACCUGCACUUAGGUUAGGAAUCCCUCCCCGUAAGGGGUGUUAAUACAGGAUAAUGUCUUAGGACCUAGGAUUUAUCGCCUUUGGAUGGGGCUGGGUUGGAUUGGUCGGUGGUAGGGGAAUAGCCUGCCAAGGCGACGAUUCAUAGCUGGUCGGAGUGGAUGAUCAGCGACGCUGGGGCUGAGACACGGCCCAGACUCCUACGGGAGGCAGCAGUAGAGUAUAUUGGACAAUGAGCGAAAGCCUGAUCCAGCAAUGCCGCGUAUGUGAUGAAGGCCUUAGUGUUGUAAUGCUCUUUUACCCGAGAUGAUAAUGACGGUACCGGGAGAAUAAGCUCCGGCUAACUCCGUG